UAAUAACUGAAAAUAAGAACACAGUGGAUUUAAAAGCAGAUUACGUAGGUGAAGAGAGAGUCAAUAAACUAUGAGAUAGAUUAGAAGACAGUGAUCCAGAAUGAACCAUCACGAGACAAAAAUAUAAAAAAUACAGAAAAGAUGUCACCCCUCUGUAGCUGUGGCAACGCCACGUCUGUGGAAUCAACCAACCGUGGACUGUGUAAUACUGCAGUAUGUACUACUGAAGAAUAUUCACACGUCCUGCAGUUGAUGCUGUCUGUCAUAAAGGCCCUCAGCUGGCUGUUGUGUAGAAACUCAUCUCGUCUCAACUGGAGUGCCUGCGUGUGGCCUCUCCUUGUGGUCUGUCGGAAUCGGGUAGUUCAAGGUUUCUUACUGCAUGGCAGCUCGGUUUCAAGGGCAGGGUCCUAAGAGAGCAAAUUGGAAGUGCUUAGCAUGAAGCGACUUAGCAGCAGCAGCAGCAGCAGCAUUUUUAUAAUCUAGUCUUGAAAUUCACGUACUGCCACACCCAUAGUGCUGUCUUAGUUGAAAAAAUUGCAAAGGUCCCAUCCUGAUUCCAGGGAAAGGAUCACAGAACCUACCACCCAGAGGGAGGGGUGUCAAGGUCACAUUGUAAAAGCAUGUGGGAUGGGAUUAUAUUGUUGAGGCCAUCUUUGGAAAAAUACAGUUUGCUCUAUAUAUGAAGUUAAAGUCUCUCAGUUGUGUCCGACUCUUUGUGACCCCAUGGAUAUUCAGUCCAUAGAACUCUCCAGGUCAGAAUACUGGAGUGGGUAGCCAUUCCUUCUCUGGGGGAUCUUCCAAACACAGGGAUCAAAUGCAGGUCUCCCACAUUGCAGGCGGAUUCUUUACCAGCUGAGCCACCAGGGAAGCCAGUAUAUGAAAGGGCUAAGACCAAGUUGGGUUUAUUUCAGAAAUGCAAGAUUCAUUUCACAUGGAGGACUCAGUAUAAUUUGCUGACACAUUAAAAGGGGAAAAUGAUGAUUUUGUGAUAAAAUUCAGCAUCAAUUCCUGAUUAAAACAGCAACAACAAUAACUUUUAGCCACCUGGGAAUAAAUGGGAGCUUUCUUAAUCUGGUGAAGAAAUAACUAUAAAACAGCAGCAGCAGCCCAGUCACACUAAGGAGGACUGUUGUAGAGAAUACAGCACUGUUGCCUUGACUCAGUUUUUCAGCACAAGUGGUAUUAGAUGCUGGACAUCAGAAACUCUGCCCCAUAACAGCUCUACAACCUGGGUUCAUAAUUUUAUUUAAGGUCUUCAGUGCAGUUGAAUGUACUUUCAUGACCUUUAUAUUCCUCAUGCCCGUCGUCGGCCUACAGCACCAACACCUGAGUUUGAAACAGCUUUGCCUUCAGUAUGUACUUUACUUGGGAUGGCCAUAGGUGAUGACUUUACAACCCUUUCAGCAUUACAUGCCAUUGACGACCAGCAUCCCAUCCUCUAAUGACGAGUGGGCAAACUCUGGCCUGCAGGUCAAAUCUAACUUGCUAUUUGUUUUGGUAAGUAAGCUGUUAUUGUAAUACAGCCAUGCUCAUUGGUUUACACAUGAUCUUUGGCGGCUUUUGCACUGUGAUGAAUUGAGUAGUUGCAACAGAAGUUACUUGUGCAAGUUUUUUAAGACUAUUGGUUACUUGUUUAGGGAGUAAACUCUUGCACUCUGUGCAAGAGGGUUCUUGGAGACUGAGACAGAGCUCCAACAUUCUUUCUGGGCCUCUUAGAGCUCCCUAAGUAGCAUGAUGUCCUCAUCAGGGUUCCCUUGAGACAUUACCCCCCUUCAGUCAAAAACUUCACCUGGAGUGUCAGUGCUGAUCAGUACCUUCAGCACUGCAAGCCUGUCUUGAUUGCUAGAUUCCAAAGAAGCUAUGGGCUUCCCAGGUGGCUCAGUGGUGAAGCAUCCACCUACCAAUGCAAGAGAUGUGGGUUCGAUCUCUGGGUCAGAAAAAUCCCCUGGAGGAGAUGGCAACCUAUUCCAGAGUUGACCCAACUUAGCAACUAAGACACAAACAACAAAAAAACUAUGGAUUCUAUUUCUAUAAUUAAAAUGUCUUAUUUUAUUUUUGCCUUUGCUCUGUUAAAGUAGAAAGACACUUUAGCUUUUAGCCCUCAGCUUCAGAUAAAACAGUGUCUUCAGCUCAUAGAGGGUUCCAUUGUUAGAAGUCUGAGAAACGCUCUGUGAUAACAUAUGGAUAAUCUUGGUAUAUGGCCAGAGACUAAUGGAUGCUGAAGAGUUCUUAGAAGAUCAGUCUUUCCUGUAGCUUAAGGCCAUUAAAUCAGAAUCAUUCUUGCUGAAUUUGUAAACAUGGAGUUAGUAGUUGGUGCAUAAGAAUUGUAGGGACCACAAACUUUGUUCUUCUCCUCUUUGACCACAUGUAAUAUAUUUCGUUCACUUUGAAGUCUUCUGAUCUUGAAAAAUGAAAAUGUU
ensembl:lncRNA